CCCGAGCAGAGCUCCCUCCGACCCGACCCGACCCCAGCGACUCGGAUAGAUCCAGCGCCGCCGCCCGCCGCCGCUGUCAACCGGCCGGCUAGCCCGUCCUCCGUCGUCACCACCGCACCGGCUACUCGCUCCUAUCCCCGCGCGGCUCCGUCUUUCUCAAAGUUACUGUUUCCUAUUCCCCACUGCUUCGUCCCUUUUGACUCCAAUACUUUGGCACAUCAUGGUCGGAAAGAUUAUAUCCUCGAUUUUAAUGCCAAUUGUGAGAGAUGCGUCGUUUCAUUGAGUUUUUAUAAGGACAAUGAUGAAGAGAAGAAAGAAACAUAUUUCGCUACUGGUAUAAUUUUUGCUUCGGGAAAGAGAUCAUGCUGCGUUUUAACAACAAUAGAUGAUGCUAGUAAAAGGAAAGAUGAAUCAUGUGUGGUAAAAUUUUUUGAUGGAACUUCAAAAAUUAUUGAUUGGAAGAGAAUAAAGGUGCGGCCAGAGUUUAAAUGUGCAACAAUUUAUAUCCACAAUAUUGAUAUGAUUCAUGGAGCCACCGUCACAUUUAGUGAUCAAGAGAUUGAUCAUUCUCAAAAGGUAUUCACUGUUGGUUACAACACAAAUCAAAGGGACAGAACCUUCAUCUCAGGAAAUCUUGUGAAUGGUGUAGGGAUACGGAACAAAGACGCUAUCGUAUUUGUGCACGGCUGCUCAACUGGCAAUUCUGGUCAUUUGGGAUCAGCUGUAUUUAAUGAAAAUAAAAAUCUUGUUGGCAUGAAUGUUUCUUAUACUAGAUCUAGAGGCACUCAUUAUAUCUCUAGCAGCUCCACAUCAACAUCAGAUUAUGGUGGCAUCGUAUCUGCAUUGAAUUUACAAUCCAUACAACUUGGGCUUUCCCUGCUAUAUAAAAAAGAAGGAGAGACUAUUGGUGAAAUUGUUCGUCACGCAGAAGAUGAUGAGGGGCCUUUGAUCAUUGUUCUGCAGCUUUUCUCAUUUUUAGCUGCUAUGCGCAUCUGCAUUGAUGACGAGCUCAGACCUUCAAGAGCAAUGGUGAAGGCCAUCACGAUCUGAGUGUCUCUUUUUUGUUAUUAUUAUUCUCUAUGAAAAUUUGAUAGCCCAACCUGUGUUGAUGAUACAAUGUGGGUGGUUUUUCUUUUGUAAGCUGACCUGUGACUCAUUUUGGGGCACGGUGGUGUCAGACUGAUGAAAUGUAAGUGGCUGUUAGACAGGCUGGCCUCACACUGAACUCGGCCUAUUUUGAGCUUCCUGUACUGUCUAACUUUUCUCAUUAUUCACUGCCCAACUUUGGUCAGAGACCCGCAACAUCAGAAAAGGAGCAUAUGGACCCUU
rnacentral:lncRNA from 1 species